AGCUUUAGGGAUGGAUCUAAGGUUAUACCUGCCCAAUGUGUAAUUCUAUUAAUGGCCGCGGUACCUUGACCGUGCUAAGGUAGCGCAAUCAAUUGGCUCUUAAUUGGGGUCAGGAAUGAAUGGAGUUACGGAGUUUUACUGUCUCUUAGUUAAUUAUUCUAAAUUACUAUUUAGGUGAAAAAGCCUAAUAAAAGAAAGGGGACGAGAAGACCCUUAGAGUUUGGCCUAGAUAAAUUUUAGAAAUUUUGUUUAUAAUGGUUUAGUUGGGGCAACGUAGGAGCAAUAAAAAUAAAAAUCUCCUAAAUUUUAUUAACCGAUAUUUUUAAAUUUAGAUAAACUACCUUAGGGAUAACAGCAUAAUUUAAUAAAUAAGUUUGUGACCUCGAUGUUGGACUAGGAAACUUAAAGGCUAGCCGUCUUUAAGGAAAGUUCUGUUCGAACUAUAAUUCCU
rnacentral:rRNA from 1 species